rfam:Triticum aestivum genome assembly, contig: Triticum_aestivum_CS42_TGACv1_scaffold_342541_4DL
AAUAUACUCCCUCCAUCCCAAAAUUCUUGUCUUAGAUUUGUCUAAAUACGGAUGUAUCAAGUCACGUUUUAGUAUUAGAUACAUCCGUAUGUAGACAAAUUUAAGACAAAAUUUUUGGGACGAAGGAAGUACAUC